AUUGAACGCUGGCGGCAUGCCUUACACAUGCAAGUCGAACGGUAACAGGUCUUCGGAUGCUGACGAGUGGCGAACGGGUGAGUAAUACAUCGGAACGUGCCUAGUAGUGGGGGAUAACUACUCGAAAGAGUGGCUAAUACCGCAUGAGAUCUACGGAUGAAAGCAGGGGAUCGCAAGACCUUGUGCUACUAGAGCGGCCGAUGGCAGAUUAGGUAGUUGGUGGGAUAAAAGCUUACCAAGCCGACGAUCUGUAGCUGGUCUGAGAGGACGAUCAGCCACACAGGGACUGAGACACGGCACAGACUCCUACGGGAGGCAGCAGUGGGGAAUUUUGGACAAUGGGCGCAAGCCUGAUCCAGCAAUGCCGCGUGCAGGAUGAAGGCCUUCGGGUUGUAAACUGCUUUUGUACGGAACGAAAAGCCCUGGGUUAAUACCCUGGGGUCAUGACGGUACCGUAAGAAUAAGCACCGGCUAACUACGUGCCAGCCGCCGCAGUAAAAC
rnacentral:rRNA from 1 species